rfam:Chryseobacterium koreense CCTG 49689 contig04, whole genome shotgun sequence.
GAGAGCCGGAUACGCGGAGACGUGUAAGUCCGGUUCGGGGGCGAGUGUUUGGAAACCUACCGUAGCAAUACGAAAAGGCGCUGGAUGCUUAGCCUAC